CUUCCUGUCUGAGGACUCCCGCUCCUGACCUUUUCCCACAGGAUGAACUGCCUCUGCUUCGGAACCCCCUUUUGAAGCUCCCGUCUGAACGUCCCCGUUUGUCACUGACAGUGCUCUACAGCAGUCAUGCUCUCUAUUUUCGGCUCCCUUGUCUGUGUCAUCCUGGUGACCUGUCACGUCUUUCCACCAUGCGUGCCACCGAGCUGUUCCCAGUGUGCAUAUCAUAGCGCAUGACGAGGUCUGGAGUCAGAUAAGACCGAUCAGCAGCCUCUGCUCCCUACCCACAUACACGCCAUCUCCCUAAAAGACUCUCUCCUUAUCACCCCUUCUUUCCUCCCCUUUAACUGUUUUCCCCCAUAAGAUUCAGUUUAUGGGCCUCCUCUUCCAGGAAACUCUCCAGGAAGGUCGCUCUCCUGUUUGAUACAACAGUUUCUGGAGAGAGGAGGCCAUUUCAGCUCAUCUUCAUUUUCCCACGGCCGUGUCUAUCGCAUGGAAGAACAAUGGAGAGACGUCCCAAAGCAGAGUUUAAAACUUGACUGACGGGAGGCCAGUAAGAACGGGACUCACACAGAGAGUGGAAGAGAGAGACCUUGAAGCUUUGAUGAUUCCAUAGUCCAAGCUUUCAGCAUUCCAUUGGAUUGGCUCCUAGAAAUUGCUGUAACCAAUGGGAACAAAUGAGUAAGACAGACAAGCACCAUGCCUCGAGUUUUGUUUGAGACGUUCGAAGACUUCAGGAGGAAAUGGCAUCCAAUGGCACCUGGAGAAGAUUCCUAGAAUGGACAUAAAAUUCUACUGGUCUCCAGCGAAGUGAAUGGAAGGAUUUAUCACUUGCACACGUGCUUUAAUGAAUGACAGACAUCCAGAACAGUGUAUAAUCAGCAAGUACCUUUGUCCAGUGAACAUCUCUGUCUGUUCGACAUCCAGACUAAGAACUACAACCUCCCAGUAGCUCUUUCUUGCUGCUUUCUGGUUUGCUCUGUGAAUUGAAGCCAGGGUCUUGUGCACGCGAAGCAAGUGCUCUGCCACCGAGUUAGGUUGCUAGUCAUGUUGUGCCGUGCCCUAAUCGAAACUACCAGCCUUUGUCAGGUUAGUAACCAACUUCUCGAAAGAAAGAUUAGUUUCUCUGCUUUUGAACUUCAUACAAGCAGAAGCCUGCAUUCUGGUCCUGUCUAUAUCUGGACUCUUUGUUUAGUAUACUAUUCAUGAGUUUCAUCUGUAUUCCAGAUACAACUGGGGGUUUUCAUUAUUACUCAGAUAUUUCUUUGCCCUAAAAAAAAAAUCUUCAUUUUAAGCCAGGUUCAGUGGUGCACACCUUUAAU